UACGUAGGGUGCAAGCGUUAAUCGGAAUUAUUGGGCGUAAAGGGCGCGUAGGCGGUCUGACAAGUGGAAGGUGAAAUCCCCGCGCUUAACGUGGGAACUGCCUUCCAAACUGUUUGACUUGAGUCCGGGAGAGGUGAGUGGAAUUCCCAGUGUAGCGGUGAAAUGCGCAGAUAUCAGGAGGAACACCGGUGGCGAAGGCGGCUUUCUGGGCCUUACCUGACGCUGAGGAGCGAAAGCUGGGGGAGCAAACAGG
rnacentral:rRNA from 1 species